rnacentral:rRNA from 1 species
AGUUUGAUCAUGGCUCAGAUUGAACGCUGGCGGCAUGCCUUACACAUGCAAGUCGAACGGUAACGGGCCUUCGGGUGCCGACGAGUGGCGGAACGGGUGAGUAAUGCAUCGGAACGUACCUUUCAGUGGGGGAUAACGUAGCGAAAGUUACGCUAAUACCGCAUAUUCUGUGAGCAGGAAAGCAGGGGAUCGCAAGACCUUGCGCUGAUUGAGCGGCCGAUGUCAGAUUAGCUAGUUGGUGAGGUAAAGGCUCACCAAGGCGACGAUCUGUAGCGGGUCUGAGAGGAUGAUCCGCCACACUGGAACUGAGACACGGUCCAGACUCCUACGGGAGGCAGCAGUGGGGAAUUUUGGACAAUGGGGGCAACCCUGAUCCAGCCAUGCCGCGUGAGUGAAGAAGGCCUUCGGGUUGUAAAGCUCUUUCGGCCGGGAAGAAAUCGCAUGGGUUAAUACCCUGUGCGGAUGACGGUACCGGCAUAAGAAGCACCGGCUAACUACGUG